rnacentral:rRNA from 1 species
UACAGAGGUCCCAAGCGUUGUUCGGAGUCACUGGGCGUAAAGGGUGCGUAGGCGGUCGGGUAAGUCUGAUGUGAAAUCUCACAGCUUAACUGUGAAACUGCAUUGGAUACUAUCCGGCUAGAGGAAUGGAGGGGAGACUGGAAUACUUGGUGUAGCAGUGAAAUGCGUAGAUAUCAAGUGGAACACCAGUGGCGAAGGCGAGUCUCUGGACAUUUCCUGACGCUGAGGCACGAAAGCCAGGGGAGCAAACGGG